CUUCGUCUCGGCAAUAUGGAACCUCUCAACAGCUCCCGUUCUUUUAUGGGGUCCUAUCGGGAUAGGUAGGCCCAAGCCUUUCCCCUCCCCUCUCCCUCCAUAAGACCCUCUUUCUCUUUCCCUCUCGGGGAGAUGGAAUGAAAGAAGCAAUGAGAGAGCCUAAUUCCCUCCUGACCGAGUAUAAGCAUGUUCCAUUGGCCUUUAAGUCUUAAUUGAAAAAAAAUCCAAUUUGGGAUAACCCAAAACAUUAAGCCCAGACCCAUUCCGCAUUUGACCUAACCUAAUUACUACCCCGUAAAAUAACACUUAACACCUACAAUCUAGAGGACCCCCAGCCGUGACCCCUUUUCCCCAUCUUCAACACAAAAGACAAGCAUCAGCAUCUGAGAAAAAACGCUAGAACCUAAUUCCCAAAAUCCCAGCACCUGACCUCCCUUCUUCUAAAAUAAAAGAUGUCAAAAACAGGGGAGGAAUAUGAGAAUGAGAAUUGGAAAAACCAAAGGAGGCUUUGAGGAAAGAAACUAACGACACCGAGGAAAAGAAAGAAAGAAUUUGAGCUACAUAUUAGAAUUCUUUCAAUUAUAUAAGGAUAUUCAUCUGGAAAAGAAAUUAGGUGCUUGCUCUUGUGACCAAUGAUAUAUUAAAUUAAGGAGACGAGUUCAACUCCAGUCUGUUGCUUCAUAUUUUUCUCAAGAGUGGGAUCGUUUGGUUGGUUCGUUGGGCGUGGGAAGGUCGGACAACUUGGUAUUAACGAGCUUCUUCUUCUGACUUUCAAUUUUGAAACCAUGGAAUCCAAUGGAGUUUGAUUGAAGCCGUGUUGGUUUCGGGCUUUCCGACCUCGAUUCGAGGUUCCGGUUUGUAAUUUCGGUAGCCCGAUUAACUUGCAAUUUUCAGCUUUGUUCAUCAAUAAAGGUCCUUUCUCUUGUUCUUUACUUUGUUCAAUAGCUUCACUCUCCUAUUUUAGAUUUAUAAAAGGCAUGUGAUAUUUUUGCUAUUUUCCAGCCCUUCCGUGUUUCUUUGUAAAAUUGAUGGACAUGUUAGAUUUUAUUCUUAAGUGGUAAUGUCACGCACGGUUUAGAAUUUGGAUGUUUAGUUUAUUCUCAUAAUUUUGUUAAUUUAGUACUUAAUGUUUGAGUGAUAGAUAAUUUAAUGAAUAGAGCUUUCAUUUAUAUAGGUUUGAUUUGGAACUGACUAAUUAAAAUGUGUAUUCUUAUUCCUUCCAAAGCUUUAAACUCACCUUUUGCACUAAAUAUUUAUUGAUAGUUAUCAUUAUGUGUUUAUUUGAGUUGUCUAAUUGUUCAUCUGUUGUUAGAAAGGAAUAAAGAGAAGUUCUUUUCAUGGGGUCAAUGACUUUGUUAUAUAAUUUGGAUUUAGUACGUCCCUUUUAAGUGGCAAUUGAAUCUACAAGUGUAGACAACUUGUGAAUAAUACUAAAUAGCUAAGUUUUACACUUCUUUCGGAAUUCCAUAUUCAUUAAUCAAGGACUUCACAAACAAUAUCAAGCAAGCUUCGGAAAUAAUCACUUAUAAAUACAUCGUAACUUGCUUUAGGCGCGAUUAAUAAAUCAUCGUGACUAUGGAUAUGGUUCUCGUGACAUAGUUAUGAUACUUAAUUCCCAAAUUCGGGGGUGCAUUUCAUGUAACCCGAUCAUAACAACUUUGAAUUUUAAUAAAAAAAUAAACAUGUGGCGAAUCGCGGGUGCAUUUCAUGUAGCUUGGUUUGCGGCGUGUUCCAAAACGGCAAGUGUACGACAAUCAUAACUUGUUCAAGAAAUAAUUCCAUAAAUCCUAAAAAAGCGGUUUAAAAUAAUUAAAAGCGGAUAUAAAGUUAAAAAUGCACAAUAGGUUUAAAACAUGUAAUAAAUCAGAUAAUAGGCCAAUUAUUAAUAGUUUAACCGACUGUGCUAGAACCACGGAACCCGAGAAUGCCUAACACCUUCUCCCUGGUUAACAGAAUUUCUUAUCUAGAAUUUCUGGUUCGCAGACUUUUAAAUAAAGUCGAAAAUUUCCUCGAUUUGGGAUUUAAAAUAAACCGGUGACUUGGGACACCAUAAUAAAUAUCCCAAGUGGCGACUCUGAAAUAAAUAAAAAUAAUCCCAUUUAGAAUAAUGUCACUUUAAUUGGAAAAACUCCGUUAUAUCCCCUCGGGUGGUAAAAAGGAGGUGUGACAAUAAUAACAUACAAAAACAUUGGCGGCGCAGCCAAUCUCAAACCGCUUCGAGAUUUAAGGCAGUUGAGCACCCACAACUUAAAAAUACUAGGUGGAGAACAAACACAGUUGUAGUUCAGCCUCUCCUAAUUGAGCUACACUUUAGUCCUACAGCACGUUCUAUACAUGUCGAUAUGCAUACAUGUAAAAGAGAAACCACAAUGAUCGGAUUGAUUGUGCUCAAAUUCUAUGUCGUUUUAAGGAAAAAAUGGAAUCACUAUCUCUUAAUUUGCUUUUUUUCUACCUUUACAGCUCGCAGUCCCAGUUCAUGAUGAUAGAGAACAAGAUAGCAAGCGAGUACUUUUGGUCACUUCUACUACCGAUUAAGAGCAAAAAAAAUCUGCCAAG
rnacentral:lncRNA from 1 species